UACGUAGGGUGCAAGCGUUGUCCGGAAUUAUUGGGCGUAAAGGGCUCGUAGGCGGUUUGUCGCGUCGGGAGUGAAAACCUCGGGCUUAACUCGGGGCUUGCUUUCGAUACGGGCAGACUGGAGGUAUGCAGGGGAGAACGGAAUUCCUGGUGUAGCGGUGAAAUGCGCAGAUAUCAGGAGGAACACCGAUGGCGAAGGCAGUUCUCUGGGCCGUAACUGACGCUGAGGAGCGAAAGCGUGGGGAGCGAACAGG
rnacentral:rRNA from 1 species